GAUGAUUAUUUCGCAUAGUUGAUUUUUCGGAGAUUCAGAGUGCGGUAUUUGAUGGUACUACAACAGUGGGAUCAUUAUUUAGCUUAUGAGCUUUGGGCUAGGAUUGAGUUGUUGAUUUGCCUUAGGAGAAGAACUCUGAUUUUAUGAACAAAGUGGCUUAGAGAAGCUUCCAAGGAUAGGAAGAAUGAAGCAGACAUAAGAUAUACUCCCAUAUAACACUGAAAGAAUGAAUAUUUUGUUGAGUUUUCUUCUAACUUAAGCAAAGCUCACAUAAUGUUGUGUGUCAUUCAUCUCAAGUAUUCUCUGAAAAUAGAAUGUGCCCCUAUGCACGUUGAUGUUUGAUUUUUGAAGUAUAUAUACUUACACUUGAUGAAUAUGAACUUUAUUGUGGGUUUGAAGACUUUCAAGAGAUGCAGUUUUGAAGACAUAAUAUGUUCACGAGUUGGCUAUCAUUUUGCUAUGACUAUUGCUAGGACUAUUAGUGUUUUGCACUAAGCGAUUGUGUAAACAAUAUUA